rnacentral:rRNA from 1 species
CCUACGGGAGGCAGCAGUGGGGAAUAUUGCACAAUGGGGGAAACCCUGAUGCAGCGACGCCGCGUGAGUGAAGAAGUAUUUCGGUAUGUAAAGCUCUAUCAGCAGGGAAGAAGAAAGACGGUACCUUACUAAGAAGCCCCGGCUAACUACGUGCCAGCAGCCGCGGUAAUACGUAGGGGGCAAGCGUUAUCCGGAUGUACUGGGUGUAAAGGGAGCGUAGGCGGCUGUGGAAGUCUGAAGUGAAAGCCCAGGGCUCAACCCAUGGACUGCUUGUGAAACUGUGGAGGUAGGGUGAUGGAGAGGGAAGUGGAAUUCCUUGGGGAGCGGUGAAAAGCGUAGAUAUUAGGAGGAACACCAGUGGCGAAGGCGGGUUACUGGACAGUAACUGACGUUGGGGCUCGAAAGCGUGGGGAGCAAACAGGAUUAGAUACCCCGGUAGUC